AUAUUUCAGUGCUGACUCACCUUUAAAGCAGCGCCCCAGCUGAUUAGUGCCUAACAGAGGCAGAAACCCAGCUGGCCCAAAUUCUCCUUUAAAAUCAAUAAAAGAACACUCCUCCAUUGACAGUAAAAUGGAUGGAGAAUUAGAUCGAGAAACUAAUGAUGAUGGUUGGGGUCCCGGUGUUAUUCUUAGCACAUUGGGAGAACAAUUAACAUGUGUUGAGACAGUCAUCAACUCCACACACCAGCCUAAAGAAGCAAAAAAGCAGAAAGAGUCAUUGAGGAAAACAGCUGAAAGAUGCUUUUAAAUUAGUCAAAAAGUUAGGGGUAACCUCUUCUGGCAUAUGUCUAUGCGGGCCCGUGUGUAAAUAGAACAUAAAUUACCGGUGUGUGUAAAUAAAGUGUAAAAUAGUGGUAUAAACUGUCUGUUGAAUUUCUCCUGAGUGUUGAAAAAAGGAAAAACUCUUUUCUGCUCUCUCUGAGAGAGGGGCUGUGUGUGUGAGACAGGAAGUGUGCAUGCCCAUAGAAGGAAAGAGAUGAGGUAAACUCUGUGCAGAUAGACCGAAGUAAAAAAAAAAAAAAAAAAAAAAAAAAAGGAAAAGGGUCUCUCUCUGUCUCUGUGAGAGAAAAAAGAAGGGAGUGAGAGGGAGCGAGUGAAAAGAGUAAUCGAGUAUUUGGUGAUUUUUUAUUAUUUCAGAGGCACUGGGUAAGAGUUUUGACUUUAGCUGUGAGAGUUGUGAAAAGAGCAGGUUUUUCUUUUGUUGUAGACUGUGAGUAAUCGGUGUUUUUCUGCCUAUUGUGCUGCGUGGAAGACACAGAAGUGUAGAAAUGUUUGUGGUUUAUCUUUGUUUGACGUUUUAUAUAGAGUUGGUUGAUUCAGGGUGAUUUCUCCCGUUUAAGGGAGGAGUUGCAUUGUGGUUAUGUUAAAGCUUUGCUGUAGGGGUAUGUGUGUGAUUUUGUGCUGGCUUCGCAUGUUUAAAUGGAUGCAUAGAAGUUUGUCAGUGAGAAAUUGUUAUGGUGGGGUUUUAAAGUUAGUAAAGAGUCAAACAACGCCCACUGUUUUAAAAAAGGCCCAAAACAUCAUAAAAGACACCUCACAUCCUGGCCACUCCCUGUUCGAACUGUUGCCCUAAGGCAGACGGUACAGGGC
ensembl:lncRNA